GUCACGGGAGCCAGAGCUCCCAUGGCUGCCAAAAGGAAAACUGAAGAUCAACAGCAACAACAACUAUGGAGUGGCACACUCCGAUAAAAAAAAAACUUUCGUAGUCAGUAAUCGGCGACCCUUUCGGUGGUCUCUUGUUCACGGAGAGUGAUUGAUUGUGCUCUGAGGAAAGUGGGGAGAAAGUAACGGCAAGCAGAGAGAGAAAGAGAGGGGUUGAGCGGCGGAGGAAAGGGAAGAACGGUUGAGGAGGGGGGGCGGCGGCGCUCUCAGUCGACCGAAUGGAAUUGAAUUC
rnacentral:lncRNA from 1 species